GUGCCAGCCGCCGCGGUAAUACGGAGGAUGCAAGCGUUAUCCGGAUUCAUUGGGUUUAAAGGGUGCGCAGGCGGAAUGGUAAGUCAGUGGUGAAAUCUUCCGGCUCAACCGGGAAACUGCCAUUGAUACUGCCGUUCUUGAGUAUAGUUGAAGUGGGCGGAAUGUGUCAUGUAGCGGUGAAAUGCUUAGAUAUGACACAGAACACCGAUAGCGAAGGCAGCUCACUAAGCUGAAACUGACGCUCAUGCACGAAAGCGUGGGGAUCAAACAGGAUUAGACACCCUGGUAGUCCACGCUGUAAACGAUGAUCACUCGUUGUUGGCGAUAUACAGUCAGCGACUGAGCUAAAGCAUUAAGUGAUCCACCUGGGGAGUACGGCGGCAACGUUGAAACUCAAAGGAAUUGACGGGGGCCCGCACAAGCGGAGGAGCAUGUGGUUUAAUUCGAUGAUACGCGAGGAACCUUACCUGGGCUUAAAUGUAGGACGACGUUUCGUGAAAGCGGAAUUUCCUUCGGGACGGCCUACAAGGUGCUGCAUGGUUGUCGUCAGCUCGUGCCGUGAGGUGUCGGGUUAAGUCCCAUAACGAGCGCAACCCUUAUUCUUAGUUGCCAUCAGGUCAUGCUGGGAACUCUAAGAAAACUGCCUACGCAAGUAGUGAGGAAGGUGGGGAUGACGUCAAAUCAGCACGGCCCUUAUGUCCAGGGCGACACACGUGCUACAAUGGUCGGUACAAAGGGUUGCUACCAGGUGACUGGAUGCUAAUCUCUAAAGCCGAUCUCAGUUCGGAUCGAAGUCUGCAACUCGACUUCGUGAAGUUGGAUUCGCUAGUAAUCGCGCAUCAGCCAUGGCGCGGUGAAUACGUUCCCGGGCCUUGUACACACCGCCCGUCAAGCCAUGGGAGUUGGGGGUACCUGAAGUUCGUAACCGUAAGGAGCGACCUAGGGUAAAACCAAUGACUGGGGCUAAGUCGUAACAAGGUAACC
rnacentral:rRNA from 1 species